UACGAAGGUGGCAAGCGUUGUUCGGAUUUACUGGGCGUACAGGGAGCGUAGGCGGUUGGAUAAGCCCUCCGUGAAAUCUCCAGGCUUAACCUGGAAAGUGCAGAGGGGACUGUUCAGCUAGAGGAUGGGAGAGGAGCGCGGAAUUCCCGGUGUAGCGGUGAAAUGCGUAGAGAUCUGGAGGAACACCGGUGGCGAAGGCGGCAUCCUGGACCAAUUCUGACGCUGAGGAGCGAAAGCCAGGGGAGCAAACGGG
rnacentral:rRNA from 1 species